UUUCCGUAGGUGAACCUGCGGAAGGAUCAUUAUUGGAAUCGCAAGAUCCCACAACCCUGUGAACCUACCGAAACGUUGCCUCGGCGGGUGCCCGGCCCCCGCGCCGGGCGCUGCGCCCGCCGGCGGCCCCCUACUCUGUCUCUGCAGCGUGGCAUCUCAGAGUCCCAGAAAACAAGUCAAAACUUUCAACAACGGAUCUCUUGGCUCUA
rnacentral:misc_RNA from 1 species